CCUACGGGUGGCAGCAGUGAGGAAUAUUGGACAAUGGCCGAGAGGCUGAACCAGCCAAGUCGCGUGAGGGAAGACGGAUCUACGGGUGGUAAACUCCAUUUGUCGGGGAGAAAAGAGAACCACGUGGGGUUCAUUGAGAGUACCCGAAGAAAAAGCAUAGGCUAACUCAGUGCCAGCAGGCGCGGGAAUACGGGAGAUGCGAGGGUUAACCGGAUCUAUGGGGUUAAAGGGGGGCGCAGGCGGAGGUGCAAGUCCGCGGUCAAAUGCCGGGGCUCACCCCCGUACUGCCGUUGAAACUGGAUCCCUUGAGUGCGCGAGAAGUAUGCGGAAUGCGUGGUGUAGCGGUGAAAUGCAUAGAUAUCACGCAGAACUCCGAUUGCGAAGGCAGCAUACCGGCGCGCAACUGACGCUCAUGCACGAAAGCGUGGGUAUCGAACAGGAUUAGAUACCCUGGUAGUC
rnacentral:rRNA from 1 species